rnacentral:rRNA from 1 species
GAUGAACGCUGGCGGCGUGCCUAAUACAUGCAAGUCGAGCGAACGGACGAGAAGCUUGCUUCUCUGAUGUUAGCGGCGGACGGGUGAGUAACGCGUGGAUAACCUACCUAUAAGACUGGGAUAACUUCGGGAAACCGGAGCUAAUACCGGAUGAUAUUUUGAACCGCAUGGUUCAAAAGUGAAAGACGGUCUUGCUGUCACUUAUAGAUGGAUCCGCGCUGCAUUAGCUAGUUGGUAAGGUAACGGCUUACCAAGGCAACGAUGCAUAGCCGACCUGAGAGGGUGAUCGGCCACACUGGAACUGAGACACGGUCCAGACUCCUACGGGAGGCAGCAGUAGGGAAUCUUCCGCCAUGGGCGAAAGCCUGACGGAGCAACGCCGCGUGAGUGAUGAAGGUCUUCGGAUCGUAAAACUCUGUUAUUAGGGAAGAACAUAUGUGUAAGUAACUGUGCACAUCUUGACGGUACCUAAUCAGAAAGCCACGGCUAACUACGUG